rnacentral:rRNA from 1 species
GACGAACGCUGGCGGCGUGCUUAACACAUGCAAGUCGAACGGUAAGGCCCUUCGGGGUACACGAGUGGCGAACGGGUGAGUAACACGUGGGUGAUCUGCCCUGCACUUCGGGAUAAGCCUGGGAAACUGGGUCUAAUACCGGAUAGGACUCCGGACUGCAUGGUCUGGGGUGGAAAGCUUUUGCGGUGUGGGAUGGGCCCGCGGCCUAUCAGCUUGUUGGUGGGGUGAUGGCCUACCAAGGCGACGACGGGUAGCCGGCCUGGGAGGGUGACCGGCCACACUGGGACUGAGAUACGGCCCAGAAUCCUACGGGAGGCAGCAGUGGGGAAUAUUGCUCAAUGGGCGCAAGCCUGAUGCAGCGACGCCGCGUGAGGGAUGACGGCCUUCGGGUUGUAAACCUCUUUCAGCAUCGACGAAGCGAAAGUGACGGUAGGUGCAGAAGAAGGACCGGCCAACUACGUGCCAGCCGCCGCCGUAA